UACGAAGGGGGGCGAGCGUUUAUCCGGAAUUACUGGGCGUAAAGCGCGCGCAGGCGGAGUGGCAAGUGAGGCGUGAAAUCUCCCGGCCCUAACUGGGGGGGGGGUCGGCUUCAGACUACCAGUCUUGAGGACUGCAGAGGUGGGUGGAAUUCCUGGUGUAGUGGUGAAAUGCGUAGAGAUCAGGAGGAACACCGGUGGCGAAGGCGGCCCACUGGGCAGUCACUGACGCUGAGGCGCGAAAGCUCGGGGAGCGAACGGG
rnacentral:rRNA from 1 species